UACGGGGGGGGCAAGCGUUGUUCGGAAUUACUGGGCGUAAAGGGCUCGUAGGCGGCCAACUAAGUCAGACGUGAAAUCCCUCGGCUUAACCGGGGAACUGCAUCUGAUACUGGAUGGCUUGAGUUCGGGAGAGGGAUGCGGAAUUCCAGGUGUAGCGGUGAAAUGCGUAGAUAUCUGGAGGAACACCGGUGGCGAAGGCGGCAUCCUGGACCGGCAUUGACGCUGAGGAGCGAAAGCGUGGGGAGCAAACAGG
rnacentral:rRNA from 1 species